GGUUCCGUGGCCGAGUGGCUAGGCAGAGCUCUGCAAAAGCUUCUACAGCAGUUCGAAUCUGCUCGGAACCU
rnacentral:tRNA from 3 species